rnacentral:tRNA from 2 species
GCGGAUGUAGUUCAAUGGUAGAAUGAGAGCUUCCCAAGCUCUAGAUGCGGGUUCGAUUCCCGUCAUCCGCU